rnacentral:rRNA from 1 species
UACGUAGGGCGCAAGCGUUGUCCGGAAUUAUUGGGCGUAAAGAGCUCGUAGGCGGUUUGUCGCGUCUGCUGUGAAACCCGAGGCUCAACCUCGGGCCUGCAGUGGGUACGGGCAGACUAGAGUGGCGGUAGGGGAGAUUGGAAUUCCUGGUGUAGCGGUGGAAUGCGCAGAUAUCAGGAGGAACACCAAUGGCGAAGGCAGAUCUCUGGGCCGUAACUGACGCUGAGGAGCGAAAGCAUGGGGAGCGAACAGG